AAUAGAUACAGGUGUCCAAUCAACUUGACCUGACACGAGGCAAUUGUCUCUUCUCUUAUGUGGAGACACGCUACACACAACAAGCAGCCUAUCACAUGGUAAAGAAGGAAUAGCGAGGCAUAUGUACGAGUUACGGGAGUUAGUCAAGCAUUCUGAAGGACAAGACAGGACAGUGAUAGUGAGGUGUUUACAGUGUGGUGGCGGACAGGCGGGCGGAGGCUGAACUGAGUGUUGUUUUUAUUUUUGUUGACAGGGACUGGCGCCUCAGUGGGCCUUUUUAUGUAUUUCGUUUUUGUUGCCUACACCAGAGCCUCCCUUACAUAAAAAAGAAAUUGUAGGUGAGAGGCUUUGUACUCACCAUUAUAGCGCCUCCGUCCAUCCCUCACCAUCAGUCUGUCUGCAACCACCUGGACAAAAAUAUAACACUGCUUCCUCUGGUACAUUUUAAGCUGGGAUCUUUGCUCGUCCUGCCGUUAGGAUUAAAUUGCACCUCAGUCCUGCCUUCAAUAGCUUAAUGGCUCAGUCUAUUGUUACCCUAGGCCAGUCAUCUAUUACGUAGAGAAAAGAAAAAUGUUCAAGAGACGAGUCAAUCUGGUUCAAUUGGAAGUCAAAAUUACUUCCAGUCUCGUCAUGUCAGAUCACGAACUUCCACAGUCAAGUCUUAAGGUGACGCAAAAUGUGAGGCGCGCACACCUUGGCUGGUCAGAUCCGCUCACCUGCACGUGUUUGUCCUUCACACCUGCCUGCACCGCGCUGGGAUUUCUGAAGCAAGAGAAUCGUACCCUGAGUGAACACGAACCGGCCAGCUCUACCUAGCCCCUCUACCCCCCAGCCACCCAGCCGCCCACCCGCCCUGCCGCCAGCCAAGCCUCCCGCUGCUGCUGAUCAAAAGUACCUAGAGCCCACGCAGUCUGUCGCGCACCUGAGUAAUUGGUGGAAAGGCUGUAUGAGUGGGAGAGGAAGCCAGCGUGCCCUGACCCUUACUGCCAAGGAAGGGUUUGAGAGCGUGUCUGUGUGUCUGUCUGCUCUCCAUCUAGGUCUAUGCUCUCUCUCUCUCUCUCUCUCUCUCUCUCUCUCUCUCUCUCUCUCUCUCUCUCUCUCUCGCCUUCCACACUCACUGAUUUAACCGGGAAAUAACUUUUUGCCAUGUUUCAGGCUGACUUCCUUAUCAAAUUUCCUUCAAAAUGCACCAAACUUCAACAUCGUCCAUUUAUAUUUAUUUAUUUAUGUAUUUAUUUAUUCAGUAUUCGACUGUGGCUUCCUAAUCAGGUUUUCUUCAAAUGCAUCGAAGUUUAACACUAACUAUUAUCAUUAUUAUUAUUAUUAUUAUUAUUAUUGUUAUUAUUAUUAUUAUUAUUAUUGUUAUUAUUAUUAUCAAUAUUAUUUUUUAAUCAUUAUGUUACUUUGAUGUUGAAUUACUCCAGACAUUUCCUUCAUUUGCAUCAGUCCUUUACAUCUCUCUCUCUCUCUCUCUCUCUCUCUCUCUCUCUCUCUCUCUCUCUCUCUCUCUCUCUCUCUCUUUCUCCAUUGGACUCCUGCAUCCAAUUUUUUUUUCCUUCGUGAUCUACUGACACCUUCUAGAUGCUCAAAACCAUCAUCACUUGGCUCAUAGCACGCCUAUCCUGUGGUGUCCUGGCUCCUCCAAUCGGCAGAUCUUAAGAACAAGGACUCCAUACUAAUUGCCAAUAUAAUAUACUUUCGAGAGAGAUGAAGAGUGUAGUUGUUCUUAAGAUUUCUCCCUCAGUUUUGUUUGUGACCAUUAAAAACACGGC